rnacentral:rRNA from 1 species
UACGUAGGGGGCUAGCGUUGUCCGGAAUCAUUGGGCGUAAAGCGCGUGUAGGCGGUCCGGUAAGUCCGCUGUGAAAGUCGGGGGCUCAACCCUCGGAUGCCGGUGGAUACUGUCGGGCUUGAGUACGGAAGAGGCGAGUGGAAUUCCUGGUGUAGCGGUGAAAUGCGCAGAUAUCAGGAGGAACACCAAUUGCGAAGGCAGCUCGCUGGGACGUUACUGACACUAAGGCGCGAAAGCGUGGGGAGCGAACGAGG